rnacentral:rRNA from 1 species
GACGAACGCUGGCGGCGUGCUUAACACAUGCAAGUCGAACGAUGAAGCCGGAGCUUGCUCUGGUGAAUUAGUGGCGAACGGGUGAGUAACACGCGAGUAACCUGCCCUUGCCUCUGGGAUAACUGCGGGAAACUGUAGCUAAUACCGGAUAUGACCUCCUUGGGCAUCCUUGGAGGUGGAAAGUUUUUCGGUGAGGGAUGGGCCCGCGGCCUAUCAGCUUGUGGGUGAGGUAGUGGCGCACCAAGGCGACGACGGGGAGCCGGGCGGAGAGGGCGACCGGCCACACUGGGACUGAGACACGGCCCAGACUCCUACGGGAGGCAGCAGUGGGGAAUAUUGCGCAAUGGGCGAAAGCCUGACGCAGCAACGCCGCGUGCGGGAUGACGGCCUUCGGGUUGUAAACCGCUUUCAGCAGGGAAGAAGCCGCAAGGUGACGGUACCUGCAGAAGAAGCACCGGCUAACUACGUGCCAGCAGCCGCCGUAA